AUGAGUCAAGGCGUAGAUGGAAGUAAGGAAGGAGGGAAGGAAGUAGAGAAGGAAGUAGAGGGGGCGGCGGCGCUGGAUCAGACUCAGGCUGGGGAUCAACCAGGGAGGAAUUCAGGCCGUGUAGGGGAGACGGUAGGGGCAGAAGAUCUGGAGGAACGGGAGGAAGAUGUGGCGGCUGAUGGGUUGGGAGAAGAAGAUCUCCGAUCUGCAGCAGAGGAAGAAGAGUACGAUCUGUUCGGGCCGGAGGCGGAAUUAGAUGACAAGUUUGCGGGGCUGACACUUCAUGGGGAGGAGGAGGAGGAUCUUGAUUUCUCUGAAGAGGUUGACGAGCUUAUUAGCGAUGUGCGUUGGCUGGCUUUGUUUAGGGUUCAUACGACCCGCCCGUUCAGCCAUGCCGCUUUGCUCAAUCAGAUGAGGAACGCGUGGGCGGCAGCGCAAGGUGUUACGUUCAACAUUAAGGGACCCAAUCUCUUUCUGGUUCAAUGUCAGUGUUUGGGGGACUGGAGGAAGAUCAUGGACGGAGGGCCGUGGCUCUUUCGUAGAGCGUCGGUGGUGAUACAGGAAUAUGAUGGUUUUUCGGAUGUCAAUGAGUAUAGGCUAAACAAGAUACCAGUUUGGCAAGGAUCAAAGGGCUGCCGGACGGACUAA
rnacentral:rRNA from 1 species